CUGCUGCCUUCCGUAGGAGUUUGGACCGUGUCUCAGUUCCAAUAUGGGGGACCUUCCUCUCAGAACCCCUACUGAUCGUCGCCCCGGUGGGCCGUUACCCCGCCGGCAAGCUAAUCAGACGCAUCCCCAUCCUUUACCGGCCGAAGCCUUUGGUCAUGAAAAUAUGCAUCAACAUGACAACAUACGGUAUUAAUCCGCCUUUCGACGGGCUGUCCCAUAGUAAAGGGCAGGUUGGAUACGCGUUACUCACCCGUGCGCCGGUCGCCA
rnacentral:rRNA from 1 species